GAGACCCACGCCCACAGUUGCCAGCGUACUCUCUGGAGUGACGGGUACACUGUGGGGACCGCCGCUGCUAAAGCGGAGGAAGGAAUGGGCAACGGUAGGUCAGUAUGCCCCGAAUAUCCCGGGCUACACGCGGGCUACAAUGGUUGGUACAAUGGGUAUCUACCCCGAAAGGGGAUGGAAAUCUCCUAAAGCCAAUCUUAGUUCGGAUCGAGGGCUGCAACUCGCCCUCGUGAAGCUGGAAUCCGUAGUAAUCGCGUUUCAACAGAACGCGGUGAAUAC
rnacentral:rRNA from 1 species